rnacentral:rRNA from 1 species
CGGGUGAGUAAUGUAUCGGAACGUGCCCAGUCGUGGGGGGUAACUGCUCGAAAGAGCAGCUAAUACCGCAUACGACCUGAGGGUGAAAGCGGGGGAUCGCAAGACCUCGCGCGAUUGGAGCGGCCGAUAUCAGAUUAGGUAGUUGGUGGGGUAAAGGCCCACCAAGCCAACGAUCUGUAGCUGGUCUGAGAGGACGACCAGCCACACUGGGACUGAGACACGGCCCAG